GAUGAACGCUGGCGGCGUGCCUAAUACAUGCCAGUCGAGCGAACAGACGAGGAGCUUGCUCCUCUGACGUUAGCGGCGGACGGGUGAGUAACACGUGGAUAACCUACCUAUAAGACUGGGAUAACUUCGGGAAACCGGAGCUAAUACCGGAUAAUAUAUUGAACCGCAUGGUUCAAUAGUGAAAGACGGUUUUGCUGUCACUUAUAGAUGAAUCCGCGCCGCAUUAGCUAGUUGGUAAGGUAACGGCUUACCAAGGCGACGAUGCGUAGCCGACCUGAGAGGGUGAUCGGCCACACUGGAACUGAGACACGGUCCAGACUCCUACGGGAGGCAGCAGUAGGGAAUCUUCCGCAAUGGGCGAAAGCCUGACGGAGCAACGCCGCGUGAGUGAUGAAGGUCUUCGGAUCGUAAAACUCUGUUAUUAGGGAAGAACAAAUGUGCAAGUAACUAUGCACGUCUUGACGGUACCUAAUCAGAAAGCCACGGCUAACUACGUG
rnacentral:rRNA from 1 species